rnacentral:rRNA from 1 species
AGUGAACGCUGGCGGUAGGCCUAACACAUGCAAGUCGAACGGCAGCACAGGAGAGCUUGCUCUCUGGGUGGCGAGUGGCGGACGGUUGAGGAAUACAUCGGAAUCUACUCUGUCGUGGGGGAUAACGUAGGGAAACUUACGCUAAUACCGCAUACGACCUACGGGUGAAAGCAGGGGACCUUCGGGCCUUGCGCGAUUGAAUGAGCCGAUGUCGGAUUAGCUAGUUGGCGGGGUAAAGGCCCACCAAGGCGACGAUCCGUAGCUGGUCUGAGGGGAUGAUCAGCCACACUGGAACUGAGACACGGUCCAGACUCCUACGGGAGGCAGCAGUGGGGAAUAUUUGACAAUGGGCGCAAGCCUGAUCCAGCCAUACCGCGUGGGUGAAGAAGGCCUUCGGGUUGUAAAGCCCUUUUGUUGGGAAAGAAAUCCAGCUGGCUAAUACCCGGUUGGGAUGACGGUACCCAAAGAAUAAGCACCGGCUAACUUCGUGCCAGCAGCCGCGGUAA